rnacentral:rRNA from 1 species
AUUGAACGCUGGCGGCAUGCUUUACACAUGCAAGUCGAACGGCAGCACGGGGGCAACCCUGGUGGCGAGUGGCGAACGGGUGAGUAAUGCAUCGGAACAUGCCCAGCCGUGGGGGAUAACGUAGCGAAAGUUACGCUAAUACCGCAUGCGUCCUGAGGGAGAACGAGGGGGAUCGCAAGACCUCGAGCGCUUGGAGUGGCCGAUGUCAGUUUAGCUAGUUGGUGGGGUAAAGGCCUAUCAAGGCGACGAUCUGUAGCGGGUCUGAGAGGAUGGUCCGCCACACUGGGACUGAGACACGGCCCAGACUCCUACGGGAGGCCGCAGUGGGGAAUUUUGGACAAUGGGGGCAACCCUGAUCCAGCCAUGCCGCGUGCGGGAAGAAGGCCUUCGGGUUGUAAACCGCUUUCGGACGGAAAGAAAUCGCUUGGGUUAAUACCCUGAGUGGAUGACGGUACCGUAAGAAGAAGCACCGGCUAACUACGUGCCAGCCGCCGCUGUAAUAC